rnacentral:rRNA from 1 species
UACGUAGGGGGCGAGCGUUGUCCGGAAUUAUUGGGCGUAAAGAGCUCGUAGGCGGUUCGGCAAGUCACGUGUGAAAUCUCCACGCUCAACGUGGAGUCGCCACGUGAGACUGCCGUGACUCGAGUCCGGUAGGGGAGCGUGGAAUUCCCGGUGUAGCGGUGAAAUGCGCAGAGAUCGGGAGGAACACCUGCGGCGAAGGCGGGUUGCUGGGCUGACACUGACGCUGAUGUGCGAAAGCUAGGGGAGCGAACGGG